rnacentral:lncRNA from 1 species
GCCAUGUUUUGUUUUGUUUUUUUUUUUUGAAAACUACUCAUCUCUCCUCCCAGCAAAGAGUGCUUCCUGACUUUCUAAAAACUUAUCCUUUAGUCAUGCCUUUUGUUAUUACUACAGUCAUUUUCAGAUAUGUUAUGGCCCUCCUCAACUCAUGUAACCAGAAAAGCAAUUAAACAAAAUCAACUAAGCCAACAGCCAAGCCUGCCAACUUAACCAAUGUCCUGGAACUUUGGUCCCCUACCCAUCUACCAAAAGGAGAGAGAUAUGUUUUCUCAGCCCUUCACAAUUGAAAAAACUGGCAAAGAUGACAGCAGAGUCGAAGGAAGGGCCAUAAUCUCCUCACAACUGAUCAAUACAAAGCAAUACAAAAGGACAAAAAUCAAAAUCAGAUGAGUUAAGGAGCUCUGCCAAGGGGCACAGCCUUGAAGGUAAGGAGUUUGGGGGCAUUUCCACAAAAUAAGGGGGUAAAAAUAGACCUACCAAAGUGUGAGCUGGUCACCUCUUCCCCACAAACCUACUAUGCCAGAGUCAGAGUGAGGGCUAGGAGAAUCUCUAAAUUCUCAGGGGCCAGAUGAAGGCACCAUAGUCUUACCCAUGAG